AUUGAACGCUGGCGGCAGGCUUAACACAUGCAAGUCGAGCGAGCGGCGGACGGGUGUGUAAUGUCUUGGAAACUGCCUGAUGGAGGGGGAUAACUACGGGAAACGGUAGCUACUACCUCAUACCCUCAGAUGUGCCCAGAUGGGAUUAGCUAGUUGGUGGGGUAAUGGCUCACCUAGGCGACGAUCCCUAGCUGGUCUGAGAGGAUGACCAGGCAAACUGGAACUGAGACAAGGUCCAGACGCCUACGGGAGGCAGCAGUGGGGAAUAUUGCACAAUGGGCGAAAGCCUGAUGAAGCCAUGCCGCGUGGGGGAAGAAGGACUUCGGGUUGUAAAACACUUUCGAUGAGGAGGCGUUAGUUGUAGAAGAAGCACCGGCUAACUCCGUGCCAGCAGCCGCGGUAAUAC
rnacentral:rRNA from 1 species